rnacentral:rRNA from 1 species
AGAGCGAACGCUGGCGGCAGGCCUAACACAUGCAAGGCGAACGAACUCUUCGGAGUUAGUGGCGGACGGGUGAGUAACACGUGGGAACGUGCCUUUUGGUUCGGAAUAACUCAGGGGAACUUGUGCUAAUACCGAAUGUGCCCUUCGGGGGAAAGAUUUAUCGCCAUUAGAGCGGCCCGCGUCUGAUUAGCUAGUUGGUGGGUAAAGCCCACAAGGCUACGAUCAGUAGCUGGUCUGAGAGGAUGACCAGCCACAUUGGGACUGAGACACGGCCCAAACUCCUACGGGAGCAGCAGUGGGAAUCUGCGCAAGUGGGCGAAAGCCCGACGCAGCCAUGCCGCGUGAAUGAUGAAGUCUAGGAUUGUAAAUUCUUACACCGGGACGAGUAAUGACGGUACCGGAGAAGAAGACCCGGACUAACUCGUGCCAGCAGCCGC